UGAGCCGAAGCCAGUAAUGAUCUAAAAGACU
rnacentral:piRNA from 1 species